AAAUCUGAUUAACCAGUGAGUUUUGGUGGGGAUCAGCCACCAAACGUCAGGGGGAAAGUUCGGUGUAAGUCCGGCGCUGUCCCGCAACUGUGAUGAGACUAUGCGUCUCUGAGUCAGAAUACCCGCUUGCUGGUGUUGUCAACU
rnacentral:ncRNA from 2 species